GCCAUCCUCCCAGCCUGCGACCUGACGGCUGGCCGGUUUCCUUCGCUCGGGUCCCAGGCACGCAGCUCUGUUUGUGGCCCUGUACUGACAAGCGGCCUGCUAAGAUAUGUGCCCUUUGGAAAGUUUUUUUUUUUUUAAUUAGGUGGGGGUGCACCGUUCCUGGAAGUACUGCAAUACCAGCAGAGACCACCACUU